rnacentral:rRNA from 1 species
GGGUCAGUAGGUUGGUCGUGCCACCGGUACGUACUGGUCUCACUGAUUCCUCCUUCCUGAAGAACCGUAAUGCCAUUAAUUUGGUGUUGCGGGGAAACAGGACUGUUACUUUGAAAAAAUUAGAGUGUUUAAAGCAAGCUAACGCUUGAAUACAUUAGCAUGGAAUAAUGAAAUAGGACGAUCGAUCCUAUUUUGUUGGUCUCUAGGAUUGACGUA